rnacentral:rRNA from 1 species
GACGAACGCUGGCGGCGUGCUUAACACAUGCAAGUCGAACGGAAAGGCCCUGCUUAUGUGGGGUGCUCGAGUGGCGAACGGGUGAGUAACACGUGAGUAACCUGCCCUUGACUUUGGGAUAACUUCAGGAAACUGGGGCUAAUACCGGAUAGGAGCUCCUGCUGCAUGGUGAGGGUUGGAAAGUUUCGGCGGUUGGGGAUGGACUCGCGGCUUAUCAGCUUGUUGGUGGGGUAGUGGCUUACCAAGGCUUUGACGGGUAGCCGGCCUGAGAGGGUGACCGGCCACAUUGGGACUGAGAUACGGCCCAGACUCCUACGGGAGGCAGCAGUGGGGAAUAUUGCACAAUGGGCGGAAGCCUGAUGCAGCAACGCCGCGUGCGGGAUGACGGCCUUCGGGUUGUAAACCGCUUUCGCCUGUGACGAAGCGUGAGUGACGGUAAUGGGUAAAGAAGCACCGGCUAACUACGUG